rnacentral:tRNA from 3 species
GCCGGCGUGGUGGAAUUGGUAGACACGCUACCUUGAGGUGGUAGUGCCUAACAGCGUCCCAGUUCAAAUCUGGGCGUCGGUACCA